rnacentral:rRNA from 1 species
UACGGAGGGAGCUAGCGUUGUUCGGAAUUACUGGGCGUAAAGCGCACGUAGGCGGCUUUGUAAGUUAGAGGUGAAAGCCCGGGGCUCAACCCCGGAAUUGCCUUUAAGACUGCAUCGCUUGAAUCCGGGAGAGGUGAGUGGAAUUCCGAGUGUAGAGGUGAAAUUCGUAGAUAUUCGCAAGAACACCAGUGGCGAAGGCGGCUCACUGGCCCGAUACUGACGCUGAGACACGAAAGCGUGGGGAGCAAACAGG